rnacentral:rRNA from 1 species
UCUCCUGGAAACGGGUGGUAAUGCCGGAUGUUCCACAUGAGCGCAUGCGAGUGUGGGAAAGGCUUUUUGCGGCAUGGGAUGGGGUCGCGUCCUAUCAGCUUGUUGGUGGGGUAACGGCCUACCAAGGCGUUGACGGGUAGCCGGCCUGAGAGGGCGACCGGCCACAUUGGGACUGAGAUACGGCCCAGACUCCUACGGGAGGCAGCAGUGGGGAAUAUUGCACAAUGGGCGCAAGCCUGAUGCAGCGACGCCGCGUGCGGGAUGGAGGCCUUCGGGUUGUAAACCGCUUUUGUUCAAGGGCAAGGCACGGUUUCGGCCGUGUUGAGUGGAUUGUUCGAAUAAGCACCGGCUAACUACGUGCCAGCAGCCGCGGUAAUACGUAGGGUGCAAGCGUUAUCCGGAUUUAUUGGGCGUAAAGGGCUCGUAGGCGGUUCGUCGCGUCCGGUGUGAAAGUCCAUCGCUUAACGGUGGAUCCGCGCCGGGUACGGGCGGGCUUGAGUGCGGUAGGGGAGACUGGAAUUCCCGGUGUAACGGUGGAAUGUGUA